UGCAGCUCUUGAUUUAUAUACUCAGAGAUUUGGGGGCCUUUGGUAGAACUCAGAAUGACAGUUUUGCAGGCAGAGGGAGCUAGUCAGAUCAGAAGCUUUCAUAUAUACCUCAUUGGCUGGGCUGUGCUUUAAGGUACAUUGCAGUACCAGCCACAACCACCAGAUGGAGGAAAAGACACAUAAAUGACUAGUCCAGGCAUCCUCUUGUGUGCAGUCUGCUGCUCCUAUCUAAUCCCUGAGUCCUGCUCAGCCUCCCCACGACCUCUAUGUGCUUUGAAAAAUAAAUCUUUCAUGGCCAAAUUGGCUGCGUUUAGCACUUCUGAAUGAAACACUGAGCCAGAACUUUAUAUUCUGCACCUGGUUCUUUGUUACUUAAGGUAAAAUUUGUAUUCGAAUGUGCCCUGAUCCAU
rnacentral:lncRNA from 1 species